rnacentral:rRNA from 1 species
GAUGAACUCUAGCGACAGGCUUAACACAUGCAAGUCGAGGGGCAGCGAGGGAGUGGCAACACUUCUGUCGGCGACCGGCGCACGGGUGAGUAACGCGUAUGCAACCUGCCCUUCACAGGGGGAUAACCGGGAGAAAUUCCGACUAAUACCGCAUACGUCCUCCGGGGGCAUCCCCGGGGGAUGAAAGAAUUAUCGGUGAAGGAUGGGCAUGCGUGAUAUUAGGUAGUUGGCGGGGCAACGGCCCACCAAGCCCACGAUAUCUAGGGGUUCUGAGAGGAAGGUCCCCCACAUUGGUACUGAGACACGGACCAAACUCCUACGGGAGGCAGCAGUGAGGAAUAUUGGUCAAUGGACGAGAGUCUGAACCAGCCAAGUCGCGUGAAGGAAGACGGAUCUAUGGUUUGUAAACUUCUUUAGUGCGGGAACAAAGCGGUGUCGUGACGCCGGAUGAGUGUACCGCAAGAAUAAGCAUCGGCUAACUCCGUGCCAGCAGCCGCGGUAAUACGGAGGAUGCGAGCGUUAUCCGGAUUUAUUGGGUUCAAAGGGAGCGCAGGCUGCGGGGCAAGUCAGCGGUCAAAUGUCGGGGCUCAACCCCGGCCUGCCGUUGAAACUGUCCUGCUAGAGUUCGAGUGAGGUAUGCGGAAUGCGUUGUGUAGCGGUGAAAUGCAUAGAUAUGACGCAGAACUCCGAUUGCGAAGGCAGCAUGCCAACUCGCGACUGACGCUGAGGCUCGAAAGCGUGGGUAUCGAACAGGAUUAGAUACCCUGGUAGUCCACGCAGUAAACGAU